CCUACGGGCGGCAGCAGUGAGGAAUAUUGGUCAAUGGACGAGAGUCUGAACCAGCCAAGUAGCGUGAAGGAUGACUGCCCUAUGGGUUGUAAACUUCUUUUAUAUGGGAAUAAAAUGUUCCACGUGUGGGAUUUUGUAUGUACCAUAUGAAUAAGGAUCGGCUAACUCCGUGCCAGCAGCCGCGGUAAUACGGAGGAUCCGAGCGUUAUCCGGAUUUAUUGGGUUUAAAGGGAGCGUAGGUGGAUUGUUAAGUCAGUUGUGAAAGUUUGCGGCUCAACCGUAAAAGUGCAGUUGAAACUGGCAGUCUUGAGUACAGUAGAGGUGGGCGGAAUUCGUGGUGUAGCGGUGAAAUGCUUAGAUAUAACGAAGAACUCCGAUUGCGAAGGCAGUUCACUGGACUGCAACUGACACUGAGGCUCGAAAGUGUGGGUAUCAAACAGGAUUAGAUACCCGGGUAGUC
rnacentral:rRNA from 1 species